rnacentral:rRNA from 1 species
UUCAAGAUUCUAAGAGCAAACGGUGGAUGCCUUGGCAUCUGGAGCCGAAGAAGGACGUAUAAAUCUGCGAUAAGCCUCGGGGAGCUGAUAAUAGAGCUUUGAUCCGAGGAUCUCCGAAUGGGGAAACCCCGCCAGGCCCUUUGGGUGACCUGGUGACUCCCGCCUGAAUAUAUAGGGCGGGUAGAGGGAACGUGGGGAAGUGAAACAUCUCAGUACCCACAGGAAGAGAAAGCAAAAGCGAUUCCGUUAGUAGUGGCGAGCGAAACCGGAAGAGGCCAAACCGAUCAUGUGUGAUAUCCGGUAGGAGUUGCAUGGUCGGGGUUGCGGGACUUUCCGUACAGUUCUACCGAGCUGUGAGGGCAAUGAGCGCGAUAUAGACGAAUGGUCUUGAAAGGCCAGUCAUAGAGGGUGCGAACCCCGUAGUCGAAAUGUCGUCGCCUGUCCGGAGAGUAUCCCAAGUAGCACGGGGCCCGAGAAAUCCCGUGUGAAUCUGUCAGGACCACCUGAUAAGCCUAAAUACUCCCAGAUGACCGAUAGCGGACAAGUACCGUGAGGGAAAGGUGAAAAGUACCCCGGGAGGGGAGUGAAAUAGUACCUGAAACCGUUUGCUUACAAACCGUUGGAGCACCCUUGUUGGUGUGACAGCGUGCCUUUUGAAGAAUGAGCCUGCGAGUUAGUGAUAUGUGGCGAGGUUAACCCGUGAGGGGCAGCCGUAGCGAAAGCGAGUCUUAAUAGGGCGUAUGAGUCGCAUGUUCUAGACCCGAAGCGAAGUGAUCUAUCCAUGGCCAGGUUGAAGCGACGGUAAGACGUCGUGGAGGACCGAACCCACUUCAGUUGAAAAUGGAGGGGAUGAGCUGUGGAUAGGGGUGAAAGGCCAAUCAAACUUCGUGAUAGCUGGUUCUCUCCGAAAUGCAUUUAGGUGCAGCGUUGCGUGUUUCUUGCCGGAGGUAGAGCUACUGGAUGGACGAUGGGCCCCAAAAGGUUACUGACUUCAGCCAAACUCCGAAUGCCGGUAAGUGAGAGCGCAGCAGUGAGACGGUGGGGGAUAAGCUUCAUCGUCGAGAGGGAAACAACCCAGACCACCAUCUAAGGUCCCUAAGCGCGUGCUAAGUGGGAAAGGAUGUGGAGUUGCAUAGACAACCAGGAGGUUGGCUUAGAAGCAGCCACCCUUGAAAGAGUGCGUAAUAGCUCACUGGUCAAGUGAUUCCGCGCCGACAAUGUAACGGGGCUCAAGCACGCCACCGAAGUUGUGGCAUUUAUAUUAUAGGCAGGCCUUCGUGGUCCAGCCGUAUGGAUGGGUAGGAGAGCGUCGUGUGGCCAGCGAAGCGGCGGUGUGAACCAGCCGUGGAGGCCACACGAGUGAGAAUGCAGGCAUGAGUAGCGAAAGACGGGUGAGAAACCCGUCCUCCGAAAGACCAAGGGUUCCAGGGCCAGGCUAAUCCGCCCUGGGUAAGUCGGGACCUAAGGCGAGGCCGACAGGCGUAGUCGAUGGACAACGGGUUGAUAUUCCCGUACCGAUGAAGAACCGCCCAAGACAAUCCAGUAAUGCUAAGUGUCUGAAUCCUUGAUUCGAUCCCUUCGGGGUGACGGUCUUGGCCUAGCACACGACCCUACGCUGGGGCGUUUAGCGUAUUAACAGGUGUGACGCAGGAAGGUAGCUGAGCCGGGCGAUGGUUGUCCCGGUCUAAGGAUGUAGGGCAGAAGAUAGGCAAAUCCGU